rnacentral:rRNA from 1 species
GACGUAGGGGGCCAGCGUUGUUCGGAAUUACUGGGUGUAAAGGGUUCGUAGGCGGUGUGGCAAGUCGGGAGUGAAAUCUCUGGGCUCAACCCAGAGACUGCUUCCGAAACUGCUGUGCUUGAGUGUGAGAGAGGCUCGUGGAAUUGCAGGUGUAGCGGUGAAAUGCGUAGAUAUCAAGAGGAAUACCUGAGGUGAAGACGGGUUGCUAGGCCGACACUGACGCUGAAGCGCGAAAGCCAGGGGAGCAAACGGG